rnacentral:rRNA from 1 species
UUUGAUACUUAGCGGCGGACGGGUGAGUAACACGUAGGCAACCUGCCCUCAAGUUUGGGACAACUACCGGAAACGGUAGCUAAUACCGAAUAGUUGUUUUCUUCGCCUGAAGGAAACUGGAAAGACGGAGCAAUCUGUCACUUGGGGAUGGGCCUGCGGCGCAUUAGCUAGUUGGUGGGGUAACGGCUCACCAAGGCGACGAUGCGUAGCCGACCUGAGAGGGUGAUCGGCCACACUGGGACUGAGACACGGCCCAGACUCCUACGGGAGGCAGCAGUAGGGAAUCUUCCGCAAUGGGCGAAAGCCUGACGGAGCAAUGCCGCGUGAGUGAUGAAGGUUUUCGGAUCGUAAAGCUCUGUUGCCAGGGAAGAACGCUUGGGAGAGUAACUGCUCUCAAGGUGACGGUACCUGAGAAGAAAGCCCCGGCUAACUACGUGCCAGCAGCCGCGGUAAUACGUAGGGGGCAAGCGUUGUCCGGAAUUAUUGGGCGUAAAGCGCGCGCAGGCGGUCAUUUAAGUCUGGUGUUUAAUCCCGGGGCUCAACCCCGGAUCGCACUGGAAACUGGGUGACUUGAGUGCAGAAGAGGAGAGUGGAAUUCCACGUGUAGCGGUGAAAUGCGUAGAUAUGUGGAGGAACACCAGUGGCGAAGCGACUCUCUGGGCUGUAACUGACGCUGAGCGCGAAAGCGUGGGGAGCAAACAGAUUAGAUACCCUGGUAGUCCACGCCGUAAACGAUGAGUGCUAAGUGU